rnacentral:rRNA from 1 species
UAGUGGGGGGUAAAGGCCUACCAAGACAAUGAUGCAUAGCCGAGUUGAAAGACUGAUCGGCCACAUUGGGACUGAGACACGGCCCAAACUCCUACGGGAGGCUGCAGUAGGGAAUCUUCCACAAUGGGCGAAAGCCUGAUGGAGCAACGCCGCGUGUGUGAUGAAGGCUUUCGGGUCGUAAAGCACUGUUGUAUGGGAAGAACAGCUAGAAUAGGAAAUGAUUUUAGUUUGACGGUACCAUACCAGAAAGGGACGGCUAAAUACGUGCCAGCAGCCGCGGUAAUACGUAUGUCCCGAGCGUUAUCCGGAUUUAUUGGGCGUAAAGCGAGCGCAGACGGUUUAUUAAGUCUGAUGUGAAAGCCCGGAGCUCAACUCCGGAAUGGCAUUGGAAACUGGUUAACUUGAGUGCAGUAGAGGUAAGUGGAACUCCAUGUGUAGCGGUGGAAUGCGUAGAUAUAUGGAAGAACACCAGUGGCGAAGGCGGCUUACUGGACUGCAACUGACGUUGAGGCUCGAAAGUGUGGGUAGCAAACAGGAUUAGAUACCCUGGUAGUCCACACCGUAAACGAUGAACACUAGGUGUUAGGAGGUUUCCGCCUCUUAGUGCCGAAGCUAACGCAUUAAGUGUUCCGCCUGGGGAGUACGACCGCAAGGUUGAAACUCAAAGGAAUUGACGGGGACCCGCACAAGCGGUGGAGCAUGUGGUUUAAUUCGAAGCAACGCGAAGAACCUUACCAGGUCUUGACAUCCUUUGAAGCUUUUAGAGAUAGAAGUGUUCUCUUCGGAGACAAAGUGACAGGUGGUGCAUGGUCGUCGUCAGCUCGUGUCGUGAGAUGUUGGGUUAAGUCCCGCAACGAGCGCAACCCUUAUUGUUAGUUGCCAGCAUUCAGAUGGGCACUCUAGCGAGACUGCCGGUGACAAACCGGAGGAAGGCGGGGACGACGUCAGAUCAUCAUGCCCCUUAUGACCUGGGCUACACACGUGCUACAAUGGCGUAUACAACGAGUUGCCAACCCGCGAGGGUGAGCUAAUCUCUUAAAGUACGUCUCAGUUCGGAUUGUAGUCUGCAACUCGACUACAUGAAGUCGGAAUCGCUAGUAAUCGCGGAUCAGCACGCCGCGGUGAAUACGUUCCCGGGUCUUGUACACACCGCCCGUCACACCAUGGGAGUUUGUAAUGCCCAAAGCCGGUGGCCUAACCUUUAGGAAGGAGCCGUC